rnacentral:lncRNA from 1 species
AGAAAUGGCUACAUCAGAGACUCUGAGGAAGACUCCAAGAGAGACUGGCUAGAGAAGCUGAGGCCAGAAGAUUAGAAGAGAAAGGUUGGCCAGGGAAGCAGAAGAAGCAAGAAGAUUGGAAGAGGAAAGAAUUGCUAAGGAAGCAGAACUUCUAAGGAUUAAGGAAGCUGAAGCUAAGGCUCAGGCAGACGCAGAAGCCCAAGCUGCUGCUGAAGCUG